rnacentral:rRNA from 1 species
UACGAGCGCCUCGAGCGUUAUCCGGACUUAUUGGGCGUAAAGGGUGCGUAGGUUGUUCUGUUAGUCUUUUGUUAAAUUCUUCCGCUUAACGGGAGAACCGCAAAAGAAACGGCAGAACUUGAAAGUAGGAGAGGUGUACGGAACUCAUGGUGUAGGGGUGAAAUCCGUUGAUAUCAUGGGGAACACCAAAUGCGAAGGCAGUACACUGGCCUAUAUUUGACACUGAAGCACGAAAGCGUGGGUAGCGAAUGGG